UACAGAGGUGGCAAGCGUUGUUCGGAAUUACUGGGCGUAAAGGGCGCGUAGGCGGCUUGAAAAGUUUGAUGUGAAAGCUCAGGGCUUAACCCUGAAAUGGCAUUGAAUACUGUCGAGCUGGAGGUUUGGAGGGGGGACUGGAAUUCUUGGUGUAGCAGUGAAAUGCGUAGAUAUCAAGAGGAACACCAGUGGCGAAGGCGAGUCCCUGGACAACUCCUGACACUGAGGCGCGAAAGCUAGGGGAGCAAACAGG
rnacentral:rRNA from 1 species